rnacentral:rRNA from 1 species
AUUGAACGCUGGCGGCAGGACUAACACAUGACAGUCGAACGAGAGGCGGACGGGUGAGUCAUGUCUGGGAAACUGCAUGAUGGCUGGGGAUAAAUACGGGGAAAGGCAGAUAAUACCGAAUCCAAUCAGAAGUGCACAGACGGGAUUAGCUAGUUGGUGGGGUAACGGCUCACACAGGCGACGAUCCCGAGAUGGUCGAAGAGGAUGACCACGAACACGGUACCUGUGCCACGGUCCAUAUGCCGACGGGAGGCGGCAGUGGGGAUUAGUGCACAAGGGGCUCAAGCCUGAUGCAGCCAUGCGGCGUGUAUGAAGAAGGCCUUCGUGUUGUAAAGUACUUUCAGCGGGGAGGCGUGACCCGCAGAAGAAGCACCUGCUAACUCCGUGCCAGCAGCCGCGGUAAUUC